AUAUAUAUGUUUGGAUUGUUCAUUGAUUGGAGUCACAGAGUGAUGUUGGAAUAGUUGAAAUACAAUAAAUGGAUAAAAAUAUAAGGCUGUAUCACACCUACAGCUCAUAGAACUUACAAUCCCUUUUAUAUCAUGAUAAAAAUGUUCACAUCAGUCAUGAAAAAUGUCAAAACAAUAUUUAUUUUAAGGUUGAAUUUUUUCCUGAGUGAAGAAACCAGAUGCUAAAAUGAUUAUUUAUGAUGAGAACAUGAUAAUAGUUCAGAUAUCUAGAUGUUGUGCUUUUAAAACAAUUAUAAUGCUAACAAUUUUAAUAUAGAGUAAAUUAAUUAACAAUAAACUGAAGCUUUUUGUAAGCGGAGAUGACAAUCUAAACAAAAUUAACCCUAGAGAUCCAAUGAACAUUUACUGCCGGGAUUUUUAUCGCAAUUUAAAAUUAUCUUACGACAUUUGCCAUUAUUGUUUUGUUGCCCAGACCUCUUUUCGUAAUGAAACACCUGAAUUUAAAUGUUAUUAACAUCACUAAUUCAGUAAUUACUAAUAUAAUUGCCCAUGUCUGAGAGGAAUUUCAGUAUUAAGAGUGAAAUUUAAAGAAUUAGAUAUUCUUCAAUCAAUGAGCAAAAAAUAUACAUUACUGUGGAGCCCAGUCUGCAUCACCAGAGUUAUUAUAGCUUACAUUUGUUUUUUAUUUUUACUAUAUGCAUGAGUGGUUUUAUUUUUAUUUUUAUUUUGAGGAAUUGACCUGUUUUAGUUCAGUUAUGACAGAAAACUUACCUCAUUAUAUACACCGUUGGCCCUAAAGUUGGAAUAAUUCAAUUUUUUGGACACAUUCCUCUUUUUAUUUAUAUUUAUUUAACAUUUAACCAGCUGUAGUGAUUACAUACUGAGCCCCAGUUACACUUUAUCAACCAAGAAUAAGUCAUAUAAUCCCAAUAAUUUCAUGAUAACAAGGACAAAUAUUUUAUUCCAACUUUAUGGACAACAGUGUAGAAUGAUUAACAAAAAUAUUUUUUUAUUAAUGGUCCCAUUUUGAGCAAUGUCAUUUUAUUCUUGCACACCAUGAACCAUUAACGUUGGGAUAAAACAGACAAAAAAAAAAGUUGACCUGCUUUAAUCCAUUUUUAUUGUAGUUUUUAUUAUAUUAGCCUUUAUUAAUUGUCAUUGUGAUUUAUUUCAGUCAUUUUCCACUGUUGUAACUUACAAUCGUUUUUUUUAUUUUUACUAUACAUGAGUUAUUUUAUAUUUGUUUUGAGGAAUUGACCUGUUUUAGUUUAGGCUUUUCUGGAAAACGUACCUCGUUAUAUACACUAUGGACCCUAAAGUUGGAAUAAUUUAUUUUUUUUGGACACGUUCCUCUUUUUAUUUCUAUUUAUUUAACCUUUGACUAGCUCCAAUGAUUACAUACUGAGUCCCAGGUACACUUUAUCUACAAUAAUAAUGUCACAAUAAUUUAAUGAGUGUACAAUGAUUAAUAACAAAAACAUUAUUUAUUAAUGGUCCCAUUUUGAGCAAUGUCAUUUUAUUCAUGCGCACCAUGAACCGUUAACAUUGGGAUAAAACAGACAAAAAAAAUGUUUACCUGCUUUAAUCCAUUUUUAUAGUAUUUAUGGUAUUUUUUUAUUAUUUCAGCUUUUAUUGACUGUCAUUAUUAUUUAUUUCAGUCAUUUUCCACUGCUAGUUCUUUAUUAUCCUCUCAGUUUUCAUCGUACAGUCCAUCUCCUGCCUUCUCAUGUGAUUAUGAAAUAUUUCUACACUCAAAAAACAAACCGAACACGCUUUUACAUCCACUAAAACCACCAAGGACAACACCGCCCAUCCUGAAUCUGUGUAAAUGGUUGCAUUUAACCUGUGUCGGAUGUUUUCCAGUCUGGUUGAGGAGUAAACAAGUCCUGGGCAGAAGCUGAAUCGACCCAGCACGAUGUAAUAAUAAUGAUAAUAAUAAUAAUAAUAUACCCACAGUAUGUAGUUUACUCACCAGUGGCUUGCCUUGUUUGAAAGGGCAUACAAAAAAGUACCUCGCUUUGUUAAAAAAUAAACAAUAAAAAUAAAAAAUCCUUAAAGCACUUGGAAUGACUAAUGCUUCUACCAGUGUAAUAACCUUCCUGUUCUGUUCGGCCGCUCGAUUCCCAUGACAAUUUGUGAAUAAUAUGUACUCCUGCUGUUUGAUUUAGACCGCAUGUUUCACCUGUUUAGAUAGUAAAUAUUGUAGUUACAUUAAUUGCAGGUAUGUUUCUAAUCAAUGGGAUAUUUCAAAGUGCACUUACUCAUCAUUUUUGGUAAAAAUAGGCACUGUACGAUACCAGUAAUGAGUACUUUUAAAGCAAAUAUAAAUCCGAUUUGUAGUGUAAAAUGGCAUGUGGGGAAUCCUGAAAAAGGCUGAGUCGUGACCUGCUUGUACGGACCACAUACUGUACCUGUAGUAGACUGAUGAGAAGCACUUAAACGCACCGUCGUUUUCUUAAAAAUGAGUGUGAAGAUGCAUUUAGGGUCAUGUUCCAACCUCUUGUUGUGAAUCGGUUGUGGCUAAUAUAGGCACAGAUCGCACAUGUUUUCAGCACUGAUAGGUCGAAAUUAGUGUUUCUUUUUAAUGUGUUUUUUUUUUUUUUUCCUUUUUGCAACAUGUUUCAAGAAAUCUGCCAUCAUUCUUUUGCAAAUGUUCCAUAACGUAUUGGUCACCACUUGCCUUAACAGAGUAGGUUUACUGUAUAUCACAUGGAAGCUUAUAAAUGUACUUUUCCUUUGAGAGUAGAACAUGUUUAAUCGAUCCUCCUCUGCAUCUGUACUUCAGGCUGAAAUCGAAGCUAUAUGUUUUUAUGUUGAGGCUGUUGCAACAUUUUACCGAUAAAAGUUUGAGGCUGUAAAGAAGCAUUACUAAAGAGAUAUUUUCUAUUUUGUAAUUUUACCUCCGAGAUGAGGCUUUCUGAGGCAACAAAGAAAAAACAUUUUAAAGAGAAUGGUGAUUAAAUACUCGAAUAUUCCAACCUUUUUCUUUUUUCUUUUUUUCUCUUUUUUUUCAAAACUGUUAUCGGCCAGCAAUACAAUCACGUGUAGAAGAAAUUUCUUGUCAUAUACUGGCUUGAAUAUUGUGCUAAACCUGAUAUAAGUACUUCCAAAUUCAUUGUGGACAUUGUAACACAUGAUAUUUUAACAGGCCAGUUGGCAUCUUUUUUCUGUGGAAAUGUAAAGGAUUUCUGACCUAUGCAUGUUGCAAAAGUCUUCUGUUUCCUGUGGAUGUGCAAUACUCAACACAACUGAAGCAUUCAGUUACUUGGCUGUGUUUUAAGACAUGAUCGAUCUGCAGAUUUGACUCAUUCAAACAGACGUAUGUCUAUUUUAAACCCAAAUAAACACACUGUUGUAAGA